UACGGAGGGUGCAAGCGUUGUCCGGAUUUAUUGGGUUUAAAGGGUACGUAGGCGGGCGUCUAAGUCAGUGGUGAAAGCCUACAGCUCAACUGUGGAAUUGCCAUUGAUACUGGACGUCUUGAGUAUAGUAGAGGUGGGCAGAAUUCAUGGUGUAGCGGUGAAAUGCAUAGAUACCAUGAGGAAUACCGAUAGGGAAGCCAGCUCACUGGACUAUUACUGACGCUAAGGUACGAAAGCGUGGGGAGCGAACAGG
rnacentral:misc_RNA from 1 species